rnacentral:tRNA from 1 species
AAAAGUGUAGUAUAUUUUACAUUUCAGUUACAUUGAAAAGACUCUAAUAAUUAGACGCUUUUA